UCUGGCGGCAGUAGCGCGGUGGUCCCACCUGACCCCAUGCCGAACUCAGAAGUGAAACGCCGUAGCGCCGAUGGUAGUGUGGGGUCUCCC
rnacentral:rRNA from 5 species